rnacentral:lncRNA from 13 species
GACUAUGUCAGCCUCUUGUAAAUAUCAUUUACACUGAAAAACAAAGAGGACAGAGUCAAAGCUAGUGGCCCUCAUCACCUGCAAGCUGAUUGCUUCUUACCUCAAGCACUUGAGCAUCUACCUGAGAGCUUUCUUGGGCAAUGGGAACCAGGCUUGGCCCAUUCACAAGGCAGUGGCUCCCGAAGAUGCUGCUGCUGGCAACUGGACUAUGAUCAUCAUCAACACCAGAGCUGGAAUUCUCAGAAUGUCCCUUCUCUGGCAAAUGCUUUAUAUGCAUCACGUCAAGGCUUUUUUUUUUGUUAUUGGUCUCCUUUUACAGAGGAUGAACUGAAGCUUGAAGGAAUCAUAGGUCUUACUCAAGGUGACAAGGCCCAAACUGGAAAUGGACUAAGUCACACACAGGCACGCCCAGCUCUGCUGACUCUGCUUCCAUUCUUCUUUGAUAUGUCUCACAGAAGUUUCCAACUGCGCUCAGAUGGAAAUCUCAGCCUUUCAGCCCAGCCCCAGCACUCUGGCCAGUUGACGUCAGCGGAGGUGCAGAUGUGGGCAAAGCCUCUGCAGCAGCAUUUGACAGACCAUGCCCUACCCACCAGGCCCAAGUCCGACCAGGCUCCUAAGAGACACAGCAGAGGAGCAGGGAUUGGCAUCUGCUCCUCUGGGUAUGGAUGCUGGGAUGUUUCCUAAACUUGGUUGUACAUUUUUAGCUAGUUUGAUCUGUCCUGGAGAAUUAUGAGGAGCAAGCCUUGUUGGAGGAGUAGUUGAAAGAGAUUCUGUUUGAAGAAAUUUAACAAAAAGUUCUGAAAAAGAACCGUUAAGGGCAGGUUGCUGAUUCAGGCCCGGUGGUGUUCCGGGGAUACUUUUGGAUCCUCCUCCAAGGCACCCAGUCAUCCACCCGGUAACAGUGCCAUGCUAUUCCCAACACUGCUGCUCUAUGUUCUCCCUUGUGACACCCAGGAUGCUUCCCAUGGCUUGUAACACUACAUGUUCCGUGUGUUUUGGUGUGUGAAGACAUCUAAUGAAGAGGUUUCUCAUGAGGAGUUUGUCCACUUCCUUCUGUGCUGCUGGCUAAAUGUAUACAUUUCUUCUGGAAAUAAUCCAGCCUUUCCUGUAGGACCACAUUUUGUUUUUCAAGUUCUUUGAUUUCUUCCUGAUAUUCUAUUUCCUCUUCCCUGGAUGUUUCAGCAAUUUUUUCAUUGUCCUGUUUUAGUUUAUCUAUAUCUGUUUCUAAAUCUGUUACUCUCUUCUUUUGAGAUUUCUUACUGCCUGCCUCAGAAGUUCAUUUUUAUUCAUUUUUUUCAUGAGAUUUUUUCUCAACGAAUGUAUUAGACUGUUUUUGGCUCUGAUGAAAAGAUUUUUUCCCCUAAGUAACCUGUCUAAGACACUGUGUUUCUCCUUCAGCUGCUGAAUUUCUGAACGCAUUUGUUCAUGUUCUUUUCUUUCUCGUUCUGAGGCGGCAGCAGUGGAAUCAGACAGUCUCUGAUUGUCUUCUUGAAGGGAUCUAAUGGCUGCGUCUUUUUCCUGCACCGCUUUUCUCAGCUUCUCGAUCUCUUGCUGGAGAAAUUUAGAAGACUCAGUCGAUAGAACAGACUCACUUGCAUGAAGAGAUUCUGCAGAGUGUGAAGACAGUGCUUCUCUGGGCAGCUGGGGUAAAAUAUCCAGCUGUGGGAAGAGACUCUCCUUGCCA